UCGAAGGUAGCAUAAUCAGUAGUCUUUUAAUUGAAGGCUGGAAUGAAUGGUUGGAUGAAAUAUUAACUGUUUCAUUUGAAAUUAUUAUAGAAUUUUAUUUUUUAGUUAAAAAGCUAAAAUUUAAUUAAAAGACGAGAAGACCCUAUAAAUCUUUAUAUUUUUUAUAUAAUAAUUAUUAAGAUGUAUUAAAUUAUUAUAUUAUAAAAUAUUUUAUUGGGGUGAUAUUAAAAUUUAAAAAACUUUUAAUUUUUAUAAAACAUAAAUUUAUGAAUAAUUGAUCCAUUAUUAAUGAUUAAAAAUUUAAGUUACUUUAGGGAUAACAGCGUAAUUUUUUUGGAGAGUUCAUAUCGAUAAAAAAGAUUGC
rnacentral:rRNA from 1 species